AYGGUCUGUGAGGUAGAGCUGCCCAGCUGCGGGCCCUGAGUGGUGCUCACUUAAAAUUCUGGUGUUUUAUUAGGUUAGAAUCAGAUUCUCCAGCAAAGGGUGAGACUGCAAGAUGUGGAAACCACAAGGGGAUAUCUGAGAGAAAGGGUUAUUCAUGGCUUCCUCCUUUGGUGGCUGCAGCGUCUUCUGACUGUUGUGACGGAGCCUGACGCUGGCCAGCGGCCACCACCRAGCUUAAGCAUGGAGUCAAAGGGGGCCCUGAAGGCAGCCUUUCAUCUUGGGAUGCAACCUCACCUAUGCCUAACCUGUCACCCUGGGUUUUUGAAUUCAUAAAUUCCUCUCCUUAUUUAUUUAUUUAUUUGCAAUAAAACAUUUAGAGUUGAAUUUUCU
rnacentral:lncRNA from 1 species